rnacentral:tRNA from 1 species
GUAGCUCAGUUGGUUAGAGCGCUGGAUUGUGGUUCCAGAGGUCGCCGGUUCGAACCCGGUCUUUCACCCUCCA